AUACAGAGGGUGCGAGCGUUAAUCGGAAUUACUGGGCGUAAAGCGCGCGUAGGCGGCUUAUUAAGUCAGAUGUGAAAUCCCAGGGCUCAACCUUGGAACUGCAUCUGAUACUGGUAAACUAGUGUUUAGGAGAGGGAAGUAGAAUUUCAGGUGUAGUGGUGAAAUGCAUAGAGAUCUGAAGGAAUACCAGUGGCGAAGGCGACUUCCUGGCCUAAAACUGACGCUGAGGUGCGAAAGCGUGGGUAGCAAACGGGAUUAGAUACCCUAGUAGUCC
rnacentral:rRNA from 1 species